UAUAUAUAUAUAUGUAUAUAUUUUAAUUGGGGUAGCCCCCAAAAUAUUGGGACAUAUAAAAAAAAGACAACUCUGUUCCGCAGAGUAGCUGUUUACAUUAUAGUUGCACAGGAACUUUGUUGACUCUAGAGAACCUCGGGCAAACCGCACAUCCCCGUGGCGGCGACUUUGCAUGCGGAUGUCAUCCAUAUCAACUUUCGAUGCCAGUUUCUGCACCUACCAUGGUCACCACGGGUAAUGGGGAAUCAGGAUUCCAUUCCGUACAGGGACCCUGAGAAACGGCUACCACAUGCAAGGAAGAAAGCAGGCAAGCAAAUGACCCACUCCCGACGCGGGAAGGUAGUGA
rnacentral:rRNA from 1 species